rnacentral:misc_RNA from 1 species
CAUCAACAUGCCUCUGUAUCAAGGCCUUUUCCUAAGGAAUGAUGGGGGCAAGUUGCCAGGUUCUCUGGCUUUCAAGUCAUUUGUUGUAGCUCUUCUUGCUUGCAGUAGCUUCACUCUCCUGUAUUGAUUCUAGCUUUUGGCUAUUUACGUAUUCUGUAAUUUACUGAUACAUGUAUCCAGCCCUUUUCCUAAGGCUGUACAGUACUGAUACAUGUCUUCUAUUUUAUACUUCCUAAGAUAA